rnacentral:tRNA from 1 species
GAAGAUUUAGUUAAUAGUAUAACAUUAGAUUGUCAAGCUAAAAUGAUCAAUUAUUUUGAUAUUCUUCA